AUUGAACGCUGGCGGCAGGCUUAACACAUGCAAGUCGAGCGAGCGGCGGACGGGUGAGUAAUGUCUGGGAAACUGCCUGAUGGAGGGGGAUAACUACUGGAAACGGUAGCUAAUACCGCAUACCAUCAGCUGUGCCCUGGUGGUAUUAGCUAGUAGGUGGGUUAAUGGCUCACCUAGGCGACGAUCCCUAGCUGGUCUGAGAGGUUGACCAGCAACACUGGAACUGAGCAACGGUCCAGAUUCCUACGGGAGGCAGCAGUGGGGAAUAGUGCACAAUGGGGGAAAGCCUGAUGAAGCCAGGCGGCGUGUGGGAAGAAGGCUUUCGGGUUGUAAAGCACUUUCAGAGAGGAGGCGGUAAUCGCAGAAGAAGCACCGGCUAACUACGUGCCAGCAGCCGCGGUAAUAC
rnacentral:rRNA from 1 species